CCCAUUAAGUCUGAUUGACAGUUAAAGUUGUUCUGAGGCUUCGCCACGGUUCCUCUGAGUGGCUGCCGCGGGCUCCCCUCCCCCUGCGCAGUGGUGGGGUGCGCGCCCGGGCGCGCACACGGGCUCGCAGAGACUCCGCUCUCCCCGGGCCGGCUCCCCUAGCUGCAAGCAUGGGCUUGCCGGCUGUGUCCCUGAGGGCUCGCCGCAGUAACUCGCACACGCUGGAACCGACUCCAGCGAACCGGCUCCCUCCUCGAGACAUGCCUUCUGGCCUGGGGUUCGGUCUGCCUGAGCAGGGAAGGCUGCGGGCCAGGUGACCGCCAGUGUGCCUGCCGGGGAGACCCGGGGGAGCUUACGCUCGCCUUGAUCCAUCAGGUCGCCCAGGGUUUAUUUCAGGUCAUUUGAUCAUCCCCUGCCUCCAGAAUGUCUCCCCUGCUGGAGGGUGGGACCCAGCUAUUUAGAGUUGUCUGUUGCAGAAAGUCUGGGAGGUGAGUCACGAAAAAGCAGAGCCAGUGAAAAUCACUGAUCGGACUUGCCUCCUGCUGCUCCUGAUGGUCCCAGGCCUGGAGGAAGAGGAGGAUGAGCCAGGGAGCUUGCCCUGUAAUCUGGGCCAGCGGUUCUCCAGAGAGAGGCUUGUUCAGGCGAGGAGUGCAGGGCCUCACCCCCAGACCUUCUGAUUGAACAGGGCUGGGUGUGCUGGAAUCAGUGCCGUUUAAUGAUCUGCUGAGGAUCCGGGGAGAAUGUCACUUUGAGAAAAGCUGGUUUGGGGAGGGGGUGGCUGGGGGUUUAACUCCUCCCUGGGCUGCAAAGACCCUGUAGCUCUGGAGAAAACUUCUGCCCGCGUGGAUCUUCCUUCCAGGUGAAUUUGGGAAGUCAUUAUGUCACCCGCUGGAAGAGCAAAAAAGGGUAGGAAGAGUGUGGCUGGAUGACAGACUAUUCUACACUGAGGGCUUCAAAUCUGAAACUGAAUCCUCCCACUGACCUUGCAAGGGCGGGUAUCAUUAUCCCGCUCGGCCAGGUAGUGCAGGAGGGAGGGCUCCAGAUCCAGACAUGAUUCCUUUUCCUACCCCAUCCCACCCCACCCUAUUCUGGCAGGAAGAGAGGACCAGGCUCCCUCCUGCCUCCAUCCAACCCUCCAAAAACAGGAUCCCAAGGCAGGCCAUUGCCUUCCUAGACUCCCAGGCCACGGCUAAAGGCAGGACUUGGUCAACAUGACGGCCUCCUCCCACCUAGGAGGUCUGUAAAAAUGGGAAAGAAAUCCCAGCCCUGGAGAGGCUCUCCCCACCCAGCGGUGGCGGGUGUCUGCGGGGCCUGCCAAGACAACUGGGGAAAGUCUGGCGCUGAAACCCCUUCGCGCAGCCUGUUCUCAUCUGUUAUCCUCGACGCCGCCUAGUGGUGUGGAUGCGAUACUGCGUCUCCAAGCUGCCCAAGUCUCCAGCCUCCAGUGUUCCUUCUACCCUACCAGGUCGAUUCUUUACCACUAGCGCCACCUGGGAAGCCCGUAAAGGAACAUGUCAGGUAGCCCUGAAAGAUGAACUGUGGUUGGGAAUAGGACACCUUUUUUCUACUUGUUCCACCUUCAGGAUGUGAGUUUUACCAGCCUUGCAUCCUGUGGACUCAGGCCUCUUCCAUCAUCAGCUUCCCAGAGAGGUUCUGUCUGUCAUCUCCUCUAUGUCCCCCCACUUCCCAGGGAAGAUGGAGGCAAGGAGGGUACUGGGCUGGGGGAUGCACAGUCCAGUGGGCUGGUCCAGAGGGUCCCCGUGACCUGGCUUCAGUAGGAACUAAAUGGGACACAACCCCUCCCCCUCCUCUCCCACCUCCUCCUACCUGUGUUUUUGGCUCUUGGUACCCCCUCCUCCCUUACUUGGGAGCAGGGGGUGGGGAAUUUAACUCCAGGGUGAAGUUUGAAAUUUCACAUCCCAGCCUGGGAGAGGGCCCCACAGUUUUCUCUCCACUCCUGGAAAUGUGAAAGGAGCCUUUGUAGGCUUGAUGGAGGAGGGAGGUAAGCUGCAGCCCAAAGAACUAACUUUUUCCAUGACUCAGCUCUCCCGGUGUGGGGCGGGCACGGGAGGUGCAAGGACCCAGCAGGGCAGGCUGGAGCCGCCUUCCAACCCAGAGCCAGCAGCUCACGGGUAGAGGUGGGCCCCCCCAGAGAGCCAGCCCUGUUUACCUGCAGGGGAACUUGCUGGCCCUGGAUGGGCCACCACACUGUACCCGCCCCAUGCUCCCAGGGCUCUGUCCCAUUUUUUCCCCCAGAGAGAGGGGGAAAAAACUAUGCUUUUUUUUUUUUUAAAGCAUAAUUGAUUUACAAUGUUUCAGGUGUACAGCUAAGUAUUCU